GGGGGGGGGUGGGUGAAACACAUGCAACGUUCUGAUGUUUGUAAUACCUUUUUGUCUUUUAUUCCUGAGAGAAUCUUUUUUCUUGACUUUUCGUUCUGUCUUAAACUGUGAUGGCAGUCUGUAAUGAAAGGCUGCUCCGUCAGGGAAUGCUUAAUGUUCCUAAUUGAAUUGUGUAAGGGCUGAAGGAGCAACGCCUUCUGCGAUUGGGGCUCUGAGGUAAUGCGGUUCGAAAGGAAGCACAGAGAGUCCACCAGGACCGACUCUGCUGUUCUUUUUUUCUUUGAUACAUUUUUAUCUCCCUCAGACCACAAGGUGAAAACACGGUACUGGUGUGCAGAAAACCGUUUGCUAUUAAAACUGUUUCCUAUUAAAA